CGGAGGAGGCGAAAAAUAUGAGAUCCGAGUUGACUUCCCUCAGUCCUCCUCCCCUACUUCCCCUGUUGCUGGUCUCCAAGGAACUUUUCACCUCCCUCCGCGCGUUACCUGUUUCUGUGGCCAGUAUGAGUCACAUCGCUACCUUCCCUGUCAUCAAUAAAUUAAUUCAUUAUAAUUGGACAUGAGAUGUGUGUUUGAAGAUGGAAUAUAGAUCUGAAACAAAGUUUGGAGGGUUCCAUCUCUUUGAAGACAGCUUGCAGCUCAGAGAGGCCACUCAAGCCAGUGAUGAAGGUGUAUGCUGUGCUGGAAUGUCUUUGUUCUGUUAUUUUAUUCUUUUGUCUUAUUGUUUUGUAUUGCUGCUGAUAUUUAUAUUUUGAUCCAAUGUAUGCUGCUCUGAGAAUCUUGUUGACUGAAGAGCCUGAUAUACCAGCUACAAGUUUGAUGUAGUCAUAGCAAAGCAAGCCAACGUACAGCAGAGAGGGGUGAAAGAUGAUGGCAGAUUGUGAGCAAAGAUCCCAAAUCAGGUUGUUGAGUCUCCCCUCCCUAUCCCAAAGAUUUGUUAUAACCCAUAUAUUGGAGUUUUGUUGUUGCUGUUGUACUUAUUAUUACAUAAAUGUCCAUGGCACUUGCAUUUAUGUUCUUAUAUUCUAGUCUUCCUCCAAGGAGCCCAGAGCAGUGUACACGGUUAUGUUUAUCCCCACAACAACCCUGUGAGGUUAGUUAGGUUAAGAGAUAAGUGACUGGCCAAGAGUAACCCGUGCGUUUCAUGGCUGAAUGGGGCUUUGAACUUGGGUCUCCCCAGUCCUAGUCCAACACUCUAACCACUACACUACACUGGCCACAUAACAAUGAAUCCCUGCCCCAAGGCAAUUACAAUCUGCACUGAAAAGGGUGGGAAGGCAACAAUGUAAAGGAAAGGAAUAGGUGAGCCAAGGUAAGAGGUUUAGAGCAGCUUGGAGUGUGCACAUUCCACUGACAGGCUAGGGUGGCCUAGUUUCCCUUCUUUCUCCUAAUGCUAGGGACUGGGAAGGCAGCAUGCCUGCACAAGCAUUCAUUCCUGCACUUUCCUGGAGGCCACAGAACGUUUCCUCUUCUUGCAGAGAUGUGUGAUUCAUUGUCAGCGUAAAGAGGUACGCAUCCCCCGGCUAGUUCAAGUGAUCACCUCCGCGCUGAGCUCCCCAUUCCUCUCUAACAGUGCACUGCCUUUGGGGGCUCCUGGGCUUGGUACCAACUGGUGGAGCUCGAGCAGAAUUUGUGAGCAAGGCUCACUGUCAGCGUCUCCAAGUAACAACACGGCAAGUCCGUCCCCAGAGCUUCUUGGCGGAACGCAGACGUGAUGCUGCUGAGCCAAUUCAAAUUGUGCCUCUGACCUUGCUGCAGAAAGGGUUAACCCCAGAGCUCCUGGCACAUGGGCAGAUGGGAGCAGCAGCUGUGUGGAAACAAUCUAAAAAGAUGUGCGGAGGAGCUGCAGCUCCGGGUUCUUCUAGCUCCAUGGCUCCAAGCAGCUCCCUUGCAUGGCUGGGUUGGGCUGGCCUCGACGAGAGACAGCAGCCAGGAUCAGAGAACUGUCCAGCACACGAAAAGAGCCACAAUCCCCGUGAAAGUGUGCCUGGAGGAGACUGUGUGAGGCAGACCAAGCAGAGAGCUGCACCGCUCAAAAUCUGCUGACAGUUCUGAUUCAGAUUCAUCAGUAUAUUUUAGCUCCCUGUUUCAGAGGGUAAUUUUAAACAGUAGUUCAGUAGCUGAUUCAAAAUAAAAGGUUUGAUAUUUAAUUUA